CAGUCUCUGGCAAAAAACAUUGUAGAAAAAGUUAGAUGUUCAAGAGCUCCCUGCCCCCUUAUUUUUCUCUCCUCAGGUAAGAGCAACAUUCUCUUCAAGUUGCUCUCUUUGUCUUUAAAUCAAAAUUGUCUGAACCUGAUGACUUCCACAUAUUUCUUAUGCUUCUCCAAAUCUUGUUUACUUGUCUAGGAACCUGGAUUACAGUUUGGCUUGUCUGGGAUUUCUCCAWUUGAUGCCAGCAUCAGAGGCUGGAGAUGCUGGAUGUGAACAGUCCUGUGAACUCCAAUCCAUUUUGCUACUUCUCUUCCAUCUCUCAUGYGUAAUCAAAGGAAAUAAUCCUUUAUCAGCAGACAUGGAAGUGCCUAGACAGCCAUUACAUCUCUAAAACAUGACAAAGAGCACAACAUCAAGGAGUGCUAUCGUGCUGCUGUGUUUUGAAGAAUGAUGUGCUGCAACAAAUGUUUAUUUUUCCUGACUGAUGUGAAAGAUGUAAAAGAAAGCUGUUUUUAAAGAUCAUAUUGGGGAAUUGAUCUCAGGAAGAAAGAUUAUCCUUGAAAUAACCUUUCCUAUGUCUGAAAGAAUACAGUUUCAGAAGUAACUAUAGAUGUGUUUGAAUGGGAAGAGAUUCUCAGAAUGAGGUGUGAUUAUUCCUCAGCACAGAUGUUCUCACCAGUGCCUGUUCACUGUGCAAUGAACCUUUCGAGAGAUGCAAUUAGAAUUGCUUAGUACUGUUGGGAGCUCUGAGCAUUAGAGACCUAGGACUGGAUCUGCAACAGAGUUCAAGAUGCACUUCCCUCAGCAGGGAGUAUAGGAGUGUGAUGGCUUUGUUCAGGUUUGAAAUCAAGGAACCAAAAGGGUGUUCGAGCACCAACUUGUCCCCAUGUAAUUUACAGCAACUUUAAGGCAAUCUCUGUGGAGAUCAAGGGCAUUUCUGGUACUCUGUGCUAGUACAGUAGUUCUGUCACUUUUAACUAGUGCUGCUUUACAGAGCCAGCUCUGCGUGUAGGCAAAACUCAGUUUUGCUGACCCCAGGAAGAGGACAAAUUAACGACACAAUUCAACUUUGCAUUGGCAGCGCAGUGGCUUAUAUACCAGGAUUGAGGUACCAACUCAAAUAAGCACUUUGCCCUCCCCAAAAUAGUCUUGUUUUCUGUGUGCCUGGCUCUAUUCUACCUCCUUGGCCUUCCCCUUGUCAACACUAAGGAUCUUGCAAAAGAGUGAGAUCCU
rnacentral:lncRNA from 1 species